CAUGGGUGGCGGACGGGUGAGUAACGCGUGGGCAACCUGGCCUGUACAGGGGGAUAACACUUAGAAAUAGGUGCUAAUACCGCAUAACGGGGGAAGCCGCAUGGCUUUUCCCUGAAAACUCCGGUGGUACAGGAUGGGCCCGCGUCUGAUUAGCCAGUUGGCAGGGUAACGGCCUACCAAAGCGACGAUCAGUAGCCGGCCUGAGAAGGCGGACGGCCACACUGGGACUGAGACACGGCCCAGACUCCUACGGGAGGCAGCAG
rnacentral:rRNA from 1 species